AUUACAUCUUUACAUCUUCUUUACAAUCUAACUGAUUUGCUAAGUAACUGUGUAGCAAGUGCCAAGUUUUACAUUAAUUUUUUGCUUAAAAUUAAAAAUAUUUUGUUUUUUAACUUAUUUGCUAAGUGACAACUCUCUUGUUCAUGCAACAAAAACAAAAUUCCAAUAAAAUCAAACUUUAUGUAAUCAUUUAUGAGUUGACAUUUUUUUUUUACAAUAAUUUGGUUCCACACUAGCUUAUCGUAUGAGCAGGAUCUAGAAAUAAGCAAAUAUUUUCUGUUUUUUUUUCAGAUAAUUCUACAACAAUAUUUAAAUGGCAACCGAAAAUGUGUGCCAUAGUUAGAUUUGUGAAACAGCUAUACAAUGUUAAGCAAACUAAGCGAUCGUGGACAGGGCCUCUGGCUAGUUUGGGCCCUCAGACUUCAUGUUCAUAUUUUAAAAUUAUAUAUGAAAAAGAAAUGAUCGUUGUGGCAAAUCAUCAACAGAAGUCUUGGACGCAGUUAAAUUAGCUGACAUUACUUUUCCAGUACGAAUUGGUGAAUUAAAUGUACUUGAUGAUGCAUUUUCCAUAGAUUGAUCGAAAUUAUUAUCAACUAAUUGUAAUGUGCUAUUCAUAUGCUCAUUAUUAUCAAUAAU